UCGGAUGUGGUGCAGGGCGCAUGUCCACUGACGCUGUGUAAAGGUCGCUGUUUAGUGGAGGGCCGGGGUUCGACUCCCUGCGUCCGAA